AAUUAUCUCCAGGGCAGAGAGGAGGGAUUGUGAUGCAUUGUGGGAUGGUUGAAAUGUGUAAGUCUGUGAUUGGUCCUUUUACCCUUUGUGUCCCAGUCUCCCAUUUGGUCCCCUAGGGGAGACCUGCAUAAAAGCCGGGCAGUUAGCCCCAGUAAAUCAGUUCCUGCUUAACCCUCAAAGUGAAGUGUUGUCUCAUUAUUGGGGGAGGAUUUAUUGUAUGCUGUUCCAGUUUGACUGCUAGGAGUGUAAACC